AGAUUGAUAAACAGUUAGCAAGUGGUGAAUACUUUCUUCAAGAGAAAGAAAGAAGAUUAAAGGCCCAACAGGAAAGAAAGGCUCGACAAGUGGCAGCAGAGGAAAAGAGGAAAGCUAAGCGGGAACAGGCGUUCAUUCCACCAGUGGAGGAAAAACCCAAAAAAGAAACUAAGAAGAAAGAGAAUGAUAGCAAAGUGGACGUGGAGGCAUUCAAAA